GCCAUGUCCUCAACAUCCUUUCUCUUUCUGCCAUCAACGCUUCAUGCAGCGUUGCUACAUAACAUAAAACAAGAAGUACAACUGCAGAGUCUUCACAAGAUUUCUACAUGUGAAUUCAUAUCUGCACCUUGAAAGAUGGGGGGCACCUGCCCUUGCCCAAGCACAGCUGUGUUUGCCUCACCAGACACAUCAGAGAUGCUUGGACAAAGUUUCCUUGAAGAAGAGAAAAUAAAAGAAAAAGAAAGAAAAAGAAAAAGCACGAAAUCGAAUUAGGAUCAAAAGACUUGCAGCUACAACGCCAGUGAAAUUAGAUACAUGCUAAAUAUGAGGACAGAGGGACUGGACGAUUCAGCUGUUACCAUGCUAUCUGGAGAUCGGGAGAUGUGCUGCCAUUUCUUGCUGCAAGAGAUUUCUGACACAAGGAACCUGAAAAUGUAAUUAGUCUUCCUGUUCCUCUCUCUCAAAUAUUCAGCUGUUACAGCAAAGAAUACCAUAAAACACAUUAAAUACAAUCAGUUAUUUAAAUAUUUUUUCUUUUUGUCUCCAAAAACUUUUUGAUACUCUGCUCCUUCAACACGUGACUGUACAUACCCUUUGCUUCACAACUUCUCGUGUAGAAAAGCAUCACCCAAGCUCAAAAUAUACUCCCUACUAAUUCUGAUCUUGUGCAUAUUUAGAGAGGUUUUGAGUUCAGUCUUACAAUAUUUAUGUGACCAUAAUCAGACAUGAUUGGGAUCAUCCUUUAGUUCUUUUUAAAGUUUUUUAUGUAUGACUAACAUUGUGGACCCAGUCUUUUAGCCUGUGCUGACAGUAGGAUAUUUCUGUCAUUCCACACACAGGUUUAGAUUGGGGUAGGUGAAGAGCAGGUAAUUUUGGUGAUUUCCAUCAAGAUUUUAAGGACUUCUUUUCUGUUCAAGUGUAGCAAAGAUUUACAUGCUUAAUUUAGGGAGAAGGGGUAUUACAUUGUUUGAAGCAUCUAGUGGAUUACAAGAAGAGUAGAGUUGCCUUGAGGUAAUUUCUGAAAUAAGACACAGACAGACACAGGUGAAUAACAGCCUAAGUGAAUCACUCCAUUUAACUCAAUAGAAGUAUUCAUUCAAGUGCCAAGACUGUCAGCAGUAGCUCUGUUUGUAUUUAGUCUCUCU
rnacentral:lncRNA from 1 species